CGCCUGUUUAUCAAAAACAUCUUUUCUUGUUAGUUUUUGAAGUAUGGCCUGCCCGCUGAUUUUAGGUUGAAGGGCCGCGGUAUUUUGACCGUGCAAAGGUAGCAUAAUCAUUAGUUCUUUAAUUGUGAUCUGGUAUGAAUGGCUUGACGAGGCAUGGGCUGUCUUGGAUUGGGAUUGUUUAUUGAAUUUGGUUUUUGAGUUAGAAUUCUUAAAUGUUUUUAUGGGACGAGAAGACCCUAUAGAGUUUAACAUUUAUUUAUAUAGCUUGUUUUGGUUUGUUUUGUAGUUGCUUUGUGUUAAUGUUUUGUUGGGGUGAUGGGAAGAAUUUUCUUAACUCUUCUUUAUUUUGGUAUAUUGAUUUAUAUUGGUUUUGAUCCAUUUAUUUUGAUUAUAAGAUUAAAUUACCUUAGGGAUAACAGCGUAAA
rnacentral:rRNA from 1 species